rnacentral:rRNA from 1 species
UUCUGGCUCAGGAUGAACGCUGGCGGCGUGCCUAAUACAUGCAAGUCGUACGAGGGAAGUCCAGCUUGCUGGACGGAACGAGUGGCGAACGGGUGAGUAAUACGUAAGCAACCUGCCUGCAAGGACUGGGAUAACACCUGGAAACGGGCGCUAAUACCGGAUAGGUAACAAAGGGGCAUCCCUAUGUUAUUAAAGGUUAGAAACACAAGCAGAUGGGCUUACGGUGCAUUAGCUAGUUGGUGAGGUAACGGCCCACCAAGGCGAUGAUGCAUAGCCGGCCUGAGAGGGUGAACGGCCACAUUGGGACUGAGACACGGCCCAGACUCCUACGGGAGGCAGCAGUAGGGAAUUUUCGGCAAUGGACGAAAGUCUGACCGAGCAACGCCGCGUGAAGUGAAGAAGGUUUUCGGAUUGUAAAGCUACUGUUGUAAGGGAAGAACAGCACGGAAAGAAUCCGUGAAUGACGGUACCUUACCAGAAAGCCACGGCUAACUACGUGCCAGCAGCUGC